rnacentral:lncRNA from 1 species
CCAAGAUGUUUUAACACUUAAAUACUAUUAUGUAGAUGUGGCUCAAAGUAGAUAGCAAUGUUUGCAGAAAUCCCAGAAAUAAAGGGGUUAUUAUUGUUUAACCUUAGAUCAAAAAAGGUUCAUGUAAAAAGUCUGGUAUACCUCUGCAAGGUUUCAUAUGUGGAGAAGAUUGACUGCGUUGUACGGUUCACUCUAUUUAUUCAUUCAAGUUGCCAACAGUGUUAGCAACAACAACAAACCUGGAGACCCAUUAGUUAAACGGCUAAAAACACUCCUAUUUGAAACAGAACAAAGUUUCCAGAAAUCUUUUUUUCAAUAGCAGAUGAACUACUUGGUAAAUUUCAACUGCACUAAAACAGCUUCAACUUCAUAGUACUGUGGAGAAAGAGUGUUUUUCCAAGUAAGAAGAACAGGAGUACUUGUGGCACCUUAGAGACUAACACAUUUAUUUCAGCAUGAGCUUUCCUGAGCUACAGCUCACAUCUUCCGAUGCAAAUAUCUCCUGUCUGUGUGUUCCAUUCUAUGAAUCCGAAGAAGAGAGCUGUAGCUCAGGAAAGCUCAUGCUGAAAUAAAUGUGUUAGUCUCUAAGGUGCCACAAGUACUCCUGUUCUUUUUGCGGAUACAGACUAACAUGGUUGCUACUCUGAAACCUUUCCAAGUAAGACUGAUACCAGGGAAAGAGAGCACGGCUCGUUGGCUCAGAAACUGGAGCCAGGGCAGUUAUUAAAAGUCUCCCAUAUUGCUACUUUUUCACAUUGGAGUGGUUCUUGUUUCUACCAGGACAAGCGAAGAACCAACAAGUGUUAUCGGACGAGCAGCAGAUGAAGUGGGCGUGCACCAGCACUCUGCAACAACAUGCGAGUUCCACCACAGGACGAAACCGAAACAGACCGACCAUUACACUCCCCACCGCCUGCCCCGGCCAAACAGACUCAGCUACCCAGGAUGGGGCUUGGUCCCUGGCUCCACCACCCUUGUGAUCCCGUCAACGGAGAGCCCAGCAAGGAGAACUUCCAUCACUCUGUGUGGUUUGUUUGUUUUUUUAAUCCUUCUUCUGGGAUGCCAGCAAGAGUUCCAUAUACAUUUCAUCCUUGGUCUUCCUUUCCUGCUCUGCAUUCUGCAACUAAUAAUAGUCCUUGGAGACUCUGUGGCAUCAGGUAUAGGAACUGAGAAAAAGAACCAAUAUUUAUUGAAGUAAUUCAAGUCUCUGUG